AUAAUUGUUAUACUGUAUUGUUUAGGGAAUAAUGGCAAAAAAUAAAGUCCACUUAUUUUCAGUAAAGAUGUAAUAUUUUUCAAACAUUUUUUACAUGCAGUUGGUUGAAUCAGAAGAUGAGGAAACUGUGGACCCAGAGCUCUGAACUUGCUGAAUUUUGCUCACCAGUUAUAAAGGAUGGUGAAAGGUUACAAAUGAACAGCCACCAGGAAGGAAGGGGUAAAGCCUUUCAGAGGAAUUUACAGGGAACCAGUCAGAAAUGUUGAGUCACUCUGACUCAUUCCUAGAGUAGACUUUGCUCAUUAUAAUACCAAAUCCUCCAACUAAGAGGAGGCAUUCUUAUCCUCCGCUUUCGAAGAGGUACCAUGUAAGAGUCAUGACCUGCAGCUGAGCAGUUUAGGAGUGUGCCUGCUUCCGCUGUGAUAAGGAG
rnacentral:lncRNA from 1 species